rnacentral:rRNA from 1 species
UACGGGGGGAGCAAGCGUUGUUCGGAUUUACUGGGCGUAAAGGGCGCGUAGGCGGCGCCGCAAGUCGACUGUGAAAUCUCCGGGCUUAACCCGGAAAGGUCAGCCGAUACUGCGGGGCUAGAGUGCAGAAGGGGCAACUGGAAUUCUCGGUGUAGCGGUGAAAUGCGUAGAUAUCGAGAGGAACACCUGCGGCGAAGGCGGGUUGCUGGGCUGACACUGACGCUGAGGCGCGAAAGCCAGGGGAGCGAACGGG